rnacentral:rRNA from 1 species
UACGUAGGUGGCAAGCGUUGUCCGGAUUUACUGGGCGUAAAGAGCGCGCAGGCGGUCGAGUAAGUCGAAUGUGAAAGCCCCCGGCUUAACUGGGGAGGGUCAUUCGAUACUGUUCGACUUGAAGGCAGGAGAGGGCAGCAGAAUUCCUGGUGUAGCGGUGAAAUGCGCAGAUAUCAGGAAGAACACCAAUGGCGAAGGCAGCUCUCUGGGACGGUACUGACGCUGAGACGCGAAAGCGUGGGGAGCGAACAGG